rnacentral:rRNA from 1 species
CAGUCGCCGCGGUAAUACGUAGGGUGCAAGCGUUAAUCGGAAUUACUGGGCGUAAAGCGUGCGCAGGCGGUUCGGAAAGAAAGAUGUGAAAUCCCAGAGCUUAACUUUGGAACUGCAUUUUUAACUACCGGGCUAGAGUGUGUCAGAGGGGGGUGGAAUUCCACGUGUAGCAGUGAAAUGCGUAGAUAUGUGGAGGAACACCGAUGGCGAAGGCAGCCCCCUGGGAUAACACUGACGCUCAUGCACGAAAGCGUGGGGAGCAAACAGGAUUAGAUACCCGCGUAGUCCCUGUCUCUUAUAC